GACGAACGCUGGCGGCGCGCUUAACACAUGCAAGUCGAACGGAAAGGCCUGCUUUCCCUUGUGGUUUGCGGGUACUCGAGUGGCGAACGGGUGAGUAACACGCGAGUGAUCUGCCCCCAACUUGGGUAUAAGCCUGGGAAACUGGGUCUAAUUCCCGAUAGGACUGCAGGGUGGUGCCUGUGGUGGAAAACGAUUUUCUAGUGGUUGGGGAUGAGCUCGCGGCGUAUCAGCUUGUUGGUGGGGUAAUGUCCUACCAAGGCGGCGACGGGUAGCCGGCCUGGGAGGGUGGACGGCCGCAUUGGGACUGGGAUACGGCCCAGACGCCUACGGGAGGCAGCAGUGGGGAAUAUUGCACAGUGGGCGGAAGCCUGAUGCGGCGACGCCGCGUGGGGGAUGUCGGCCUUCGGGUUGUAAACUCCUUUCGACCGCGAGGAAGCCACCUGGUUGGAAGGGUGGUGACGGUAGUGGUAGAAGAAGCACCGGCUAACUACGUG
rnacentral:rRNA from 1 species